AUUGUCAUUGCACCUCAAAGAGUAUACGAUCAUUUUCUUUAUCGAUUCGAAUUCGCUUUAUCGAUUCAUUCAUGCCAGGCAGUUUACCACCCACAGAGAUAAACGGACCUCCAGAGGGAUCCACGAAUCCAAGUUCGUCCAUACUUAUACGCUCUUGACCUUCCAAUCCACCAUAACGCCAGUAUUUUAGGUCCCGGGAACGGAUUCACCGCAGUAAACGAUGAAUACUAGUUGUCGGGCUCUUAGAGUUCGGCGGCGAAGCUAACGCGUUAAGUAUUCCGCCUGGGGACUACGGUCGCAAGACUAAAACUCAAAGAAAUUGACGGGGACCCGCACAAGCAGUGGAGCAUGUGGUUUAAUUCGAUGCUACGCGAAAAACCUUACCACCUCUUGAAUCCAGACGACCGGUAGAGAAAUUUACCUUUGGAGCAAUCUACGUUUGAGACAGGUGUUGCAUGGCUGUCGUCAGCUCGUGUCGUGAGAUGUUAGGUUAAGUCCUUCAACGAGCGCAACCCUCAUCCUUAUUUGCCAUCGGGUUAUGCCGGGAACUAUAAGGAAACUGCCAACGACAAGUUGGAGGAAGGUGGGGACGAUGUCAAGUCAUCAUGGCCCUUAUGGGGUGGGCUACACACAUGCUACAAUGGUGGUCACAGCGGGAAGCGAAACAGCAAUGUCGAGCAAAUCCUUCAAAAGCCAUCUCAGUUCAGAUUGAGGGCUGCAACUCGCCCUCAUGAAGUUGGAAUUGCUAGUAAUCGUGGAUCAGCACGCCACGGUGAAUACGUUCUCGGGUCUUGUACACACUGCCCGUCAAGCCAUGGAAGCUGUUUCUACCUGAAUAGGGUGAGCUAACCGCAAGGAGGCAGGUCUACACGGUAGAGAGGUAUCGUGACUG
rnacentral:rRNA from 1 species